rnacentral:rRNA from 1 species
AACGUAGGUGGCGAGCGUUAUCCGGAUUCAUUGGGCGUAAAGAGCUUGUAGGCGGCCGCAUAAGUUGGACGUGAAAACUCCGGGCUUAACUUGGAGAGGCCGUUCAAUACUGUGAGGCUGGAGGGUGUCAGAGGGAAGUAGAAUUCCUGGUGUAGCAGUGAAAUGCGUAGAUAUCAGGAGGAAUACCCGUGGCGAAGGCGGCUUCCUGGGGCACCCCUGACGCUGAGAAGCGAAAGCUAGGGGAGCAAACGGG